UACGUAGGGGGCAAGCGUUGUCCGGAUUUAUUGGGCGUAAAGAGUGUGUAGGUGGCCAUACAGGUCCGUUGUGAAAACUCGAGGCUCAACCUCGAGACGUCGAUGGAAACCGUAUGGCUAGAGUCCGGAAGAGGAGAGUGGAAUUCCUGGUGUAGCGGUGAAAUGCGAAGAUAUCAGGAAGAACACCAAUGGCGAAGGCAGCUCUCUGGGACGGUACUGACGCUGAGACGAGAAAGCGUGGGGAGCGAACAGG
rnacentral:rRNA from 1 species